CAUGAAGGCUACACUGCAAGUUUUCUAUAAAAAUAGUUAGUUUAUUUAAUUAUUGUUAAAUUAUCAUUUAACUACUAUUAUUUUAAAACUAUUUAGGGGUUGUCCGCUCAAUGUAUUUCGCCAUGACGUGACCACUAACCGUCGAAAAGAAUCAUCACGUCCAUUGGCUGCUGCCGCCUAUUUAUGUUAGAUACGAUAGUUGCAUAGUGAAUGUAGGUAAUGCGAAAAGCGAAAAUUAAUCACACUUUUUUCUUAAUCUUGCAUUACCAGCAGUGACAACGGGAGAAUGUGUACCUGUACUGAUUGUAUGACCUCUAACGUACAAGGAGUCUGAAGCUAGAAGGGUAUACACGAGGAGGUGGAAAUAUUUGACGAUGAAAACAAUCCCGAGUAGUGAUGUCCACUUUGCUUCUUUUUCUUGGACAGACUUGAGAAUUUCAUGCCAGGGCCUGGGUCACGACUGACCUUUGCCUUGGCAGACAACGCUGGAUAGGAUCUGUGCCUGAGGAUGGGAUAUAAUUGACAUGGUCCACUGCUUGAGGGUUUGCUAGUUGGACUGGUAUACCAUGACAGGCAGAAAUCAUUUGGGUUACAAAUAUAGACAGCCUGCAAAGGACGUGUCUGACAUUAAAAUUAGAAUUCAUGAGGUUGGUUUAUGAAUGUAGAUCAUUGUCAUCAUAUAGAAAGUUUAAUUGAAUUGUCAUUUUGUCAUUGACAGUGAGUGAUUCGUGUUGGUUGUAGUGCUGGCCACACAGCGUGACGGUGAUCUGGAUGCUGGAGACACUGGUACAGGACAAGUAUUGCAUGUUCACAUCUAAAGGAUAUAUAGCAUGAUGCCCUUUGACCUUGUAUACUGCAUGCAGCAUGAUUUCUUCUGUUUCUGGGUGGGGAAUUCAUCAUGCCAGCACCACUUGACCUCAGCACAUGUGAGCUUGUGUGGAACAGAUGGGACCAGGCAAGGGUUUGGGUCACAGCUGUGCUGGAGGCACUGCCCCCUGCUGAAGUAUCCUUGAGUCUCUUUAAAAAGCCCUCUACUGAGGAAGGGCCAUGAAGUGCCAGCUUUCAUAUAAUAAAACACUGUGUCCAGAGUGCUGUCUCAUGCAUUUCAGGAUGUCAAAAGUCAGAAUUAGCCUUUCUGACAUACAUUUUUGGACCGUAAUUUUACGUCUUCUGUGCCAGACUUGGGGGAACAUCUGAUAUAAAUACAUCUGUGUAUUUAAAUAUGUUAAAUGGAGCUGAAAGUAUUAUAUUAUUUAUAGCAGAAUACAGCUCUUUUCACUACAAUGAAAGUGAAUGAUGACAAUGUCAAAUUUUUAAAGCAAUAUUUUUUGGUGAAUAACAGCUUAAAGUAACUAUGGUUUCAGAAGACUUCAUAUAUAACAUAAGUCAGAUGGACUAUAUUUUACAAUUCUUUUAUGGUGCUUUUUUGUCCUUUUUGGAGCUUGACAGCCAUUGGUGCCCAAGAUAGCAGCUGAACAUCUGCUGAAAAUCUCCUUUUGUGUCCCAAGGAAGAAUGAAAGUCAUACAGAGUUGGAGAGAUCUCUUUAAUGUCUUCUGAUAUUACAAAAUGUGCCAUGUAAAUUCUGCUAUGUACUAGCUGACACAUACUGUAAAGGCUUGAAUAAAGUAUCUUGAAUCCAGUCAGGUUUUUGAUUCAAUUACAGCUAAAGGCGGCCUGCUGUGUGAUUGAAUCAACUUCACAUCUCUACCAUAAAUCUUCAAACAUCAAAAAGAAGAAAUCUGACUACAUUCUCACCCUCAGUUGCUGGUCUCGCGUCAUGCAAUUAAGCUCACCUUCUUCUGCAGCAAUUAUCUUGAUUGUGUAUAUAAAGAUUCUGUCAAAUUCUGGUGCUUCCGCCAAAUGUUACGUAAUAGACUUUUGAGACAAUUUGCGUUGCACAAAGCUUUAAACAUUAAUUUGAAAAAUCAGAGCAGUCUCUGUUUGUUUUUCCCUCUGAUCUCUGUGGACUAGUUUCCAGAAUGGUUUGGUUCAGCUAAUUAGUAAUGGUAGAGAGAGAGAGAGAGAGAGAGAGAGAGAGAGAGAGAGAUUAAGGGGGAAAUAUGAAUCGUUAUAGCAUCUUUGUUCAUCAACUUAUUUGUAUAAGGUGUCCAUAAUUGGUUAUGAGAAAGUGCAGUAAUUGCAUUUUGAAAUUGUUUUCUCUUUGU